GGACGGCAGGUAGACUAGUGGUUAGAGUGUAGGGACGGCAGGUAGCCUAGUGGUUAGAGUGUAGGGACGGCAGGUAGCCUAGUGGUUAGAGUGUAGGGACGGCAGGUAGCCUAGUGGUUAGAGUGUAGGGACGGCAGGUAGCCUAGUGGUUAGAGUGUAGGGACGGCAGGUAGCCUAGUGGUUAGAGUGUAGGGACGGCAGGUAGCCUAGUGGUUAGAGUGUAGGGACGGCAGGUAGUCUAGUGGUUAGAGUGUAGGGACGGCAGGUAGUCUAGUGGUUAGAGUGUAGGGGCGGCAGGUAGUCUAGUGGUUAGCGUGUAGGGGCGGCAGGUAGACUAGUGGUUAGCGUGUAGGGGCGGCAGGUAGACUAGUGGUUAGCGUGUAGGGGCGGCAGGUAGCCUAGUGGUUAGUGUUUGACUGGUAACCGGAAGGUUGCAAGAUCGAAUCCCUGAACUGACAAGGUACAAAUCUGUCGUUCUGCCCCUGAACAAGGCAGUUAACCCAC
rnacentral:lncRNA from 1 species